GACGAACGCUGGCGGCGUGCUUAACACAUGCCAGUCGAACGGAAAGGCCCUGCUUUUGUGGGGUGCUCGAGUGGCGAACGGGUGAGUAACACGUGAGUAACCUGCCCUUGACUUUGGGAUAACUUCAGGAAACUGGGGCUAAUACCGGAUAGGUGCUCCUGCUGCAUGGUGGGGGUUGGAAAGUUUCGGCGGUUGGGGAUGGACUCGCGGCUUAUCAGCUUGUUGGUGGGGUAGUGGCUUACCAAGGCUUUGACGGGUAGCCGGGCUGAGGGGGUGACCGACAACAUGGGUACGAGAAGACGGCCCAUACUCCGGGGGGAGGCAGCGGGGGGUAUUAUUGAACAAGGGGCGGAAGCCUGAGGCAGCAACGCGUGGGGCGGGAGGACGUCCUGCGGGUUGAAAACCUCUUACGCCGGGGACGAUGCUUUGUGACGGUAAAUGGGUAAGAAGGCACGGCUAACUACCUG
rnacentral:rRNA from 1 species